rnacentral:rRNA from 1 species
UACGGAGGGGGCUAGCGUUGUUCGGAAUUACUGGGCGUAAAGCGCGCGUAGGCGGCUUUGUAAGUUAGAGGUGAAAGCCCGGAGCUUAACUCCGGAACUGCCUUUAAGACUGCAUCGCUAGAAUCGUGGAGAGGUGAGUGGAAUUCCGAGUGUAGAGGUGAAAUUCGUAGAUAUUCGGAAGAACACCAGUGGCGAAGGCGGCUUCCUGGACCGACACUGACGCUGAGGCGCGAAAGCUAGGGGAGCAAACGGG